AGUGAACGCUGGCGGUAGGCCUAACACAUGCAAGUCGAACGGCAGCACAGGAGAGCUUGCUCUCUGGGUGGCGAGUGGCGGACGGGUGAGGAAUACAUCGGAAUCUGUUUUUUCGUGGGGGAUAACGUAGGGAAACUUACGCUAAUACCGCAUACGACCUACGGGUGAAAGCAGGGGAUCUUCGGACUUUGCGCGAUUGAAUGAGCCGAUGUCGGAUUAGCUAGUUGGCGGGGUAAAGGCCCACCAAGGCGACGAUCCGUAGCUGGUCUGAGAGGAUGAUCAGCCACACUGGAACUGAGACACGGUCCAGACUCCUACGGGAGGCAGCAGUGGGGAAUAUUGGACAAUGGGCGCAAGCCUGAUCCAGCCAUACCGCGUGGGUGAAGAAGGCCUUCGGGUUGUAAAGCCCUUUUGUUGGGAAAGAAAUCCAGCUGGUUAAUACCCGGUUGGGAUGACGGUACCCAAAGAAUAAGCACCGGCUAACUUCGUGCCAGCCGCCGCAGUAA
rnacentral:rRNA from 1 species